GAGAUAUUAGUAAAAAUCAUUACAUAACUUUGUCAAAGUUAAAUUAUAGAACUAAAUCUAUAUAUCUUA
rnacentral:tRNA from 1 species